rnacentral:rRNA from 1 species
AUGCUUGAGACCAGGCCGGUGCUCCAGGGCGCCGUGGUGGAGCUGUACAGGUCACUGCCGGACAAGAGCACCAUGGUCGUCGCCGACCUAGGCUGCUCGUCAGGGCCGAACACGCUGCUGCUUGUGUCGGAGGUCAUCGGUACAAUCUCCGACCACAACCGGGAAGAAGAGCAGGAGCAGCGCCCUCCUGCCGCAGCCAUGGAGUUGCAGUUCUUCCUCAACGACCUGCCGGGGAACGACUUCAACCUCGUCUUCAGGUCGCUGGAUCGGCUGCAGGAGCUCACCGCCGAUAGGAGGCCGCAAUACUACGUGGCCGGGAUGCCGGGUUCUUUCUACACCAGGCUGUUCCCAUGCCGGAGUGUCCACCUCUUCCACUCCUCCUACUCCCUCAUGUGGAGGUCCAUGGUACCGGAUGAGCUUUCAAGAGGUGCUUACCUGAAUGAAGAGAGCAUCUACAUUGGCAAGAGUACUCCUCCAGCUGUGAUAAAACUAUACCAAGAAGAGUACCAUAAGGACCUGUCUUUGUUCCUGACGCUGCGAUUCAAUGAACUUGUACGUGGUGGGCAUAUGGUUCUAACAUUUCUAGGCAGAAAGAGCAAAGACAUGUUGUUACAUGGUGAAGCAAGCAGCAUGUGGGACUUGCUCGCCCAAGCACUUCUCUCUCUAGUGCUGAAGGGCCUUGUGGAGAAGGAGAAGCUGGUCUCUUUCAACCUUCCAUUUUAUGCGCCAUCUAUGGACGAAGUGAAGGCUGUGGUUGAGGAGAACAAUCUCUUCAAUGUGGAACACAUGAGUAUGUUUGAAUCAAGCUGGGAUCCACAAGACGACGACACAAACGAUGAUGUCGUGUUGGGCUGCAGCAGUAGUGGGUUGAAUGUUGCCAGGUGCAUAAGGGCGGUGGCGGAACCGCUGAUUAAGAAACACUUCGGAGAGGCCAUUCUUGAUGAUCUGUUUAUGGUUUAUGCCAGCAUGAUUUCAAAGCACCUCAAGAAAGCGAAGGCCAAGUAUCCUAUAAUUAUCAUCUAUUUGAAGGCCAAGCACUAA